rnacentral:misc_RNA from 1 species
CGGUGUCGAAGCUAAGCAGCCUAACUCUGCUAUCCGCAAGUGCGUUCGUGUCCAGCUCAUCAAGAACGGAAAGAAGAUCACCGCCUUCGUCCCAAAUGACGGUUGCUUGAACUUUGUUGAAGAAAACGACGAAGUGCUCGUAUCUGGUUUCGGACGUUCCGGUCACGCCGUCGGAGAUAUUCCCGGAGUUCGUUUCAAGAUCGUGAAGGUCGCCAACACCUCCCUCAUCGCCCUGUUCAAGGGAAAGAAGGAGAGACCACGUUCGUAA